GGCCUCGUGGCCCAAUGGCAAGGCGUCUGACUACGAUGAGAACGGGUUGAGAAAACACGUUCUUUGCGAUAAUCAGGAGAUUCUGGGUUCGACCCCCAGCGAGGUCA